rnacentral:rRNA from 1 species
CCAGACUCCUACGGGAGGCAGCAGUGAGGAAUAUUGGUCAAUGGCCGAGAGGCUGAACCAGCCAAGUCGCGUGAGGGAUGACGGCCCUACGGGUUGUAAACCUCUUUUGUCGGGGAGCAAAGAGAGUCACGUGUGACUCAUUGAGAGUACCCGAAGAAAAAGCAUCGGCUAACUCCGUGCCAGCAGCCGCGGUAAUACGGAGGAUGCGAGCGUUAUCCGGAUUUAUUGGGUUUAAAGGGUGCGCAGGCGGGGGGGAAGGCCGGCGGUCAAUUUGCGGGGCUCACCCUCGCCGAGCCGUUGAAACUGCUCUUCUAGAGUGGGCGAGAAGUAUGCGGAAUGCGUGGUGUAGCGGUGAAAUGCAUAGAUAUCACGCAGAACUCCGAUUGCGAAGGCAGCAUACCGGCGCCCAACUGACGCUCAUGCACGAAAGCGUGGGUAUCGAACAGGAUUAGAUACCCUUGUA